GAGAUAGUCGUCUAAUGGUAAGAUAUAGAAGUUAGUAUCAUAGAUACUUACAAUACUAUUACUUUGUUUUAAUUUGGAAAAUUAAAGAUGAGGGUUCGAGUCCCUCCUAUCUCCCA
rnacentral:tRNA from 1 species